rnacentral:rRNA from 1 species
AUUGAACGCUGGCGGCAUGCCUUACACAUGCAAGUCGAACGGCAGCACGGGAGCAAUCCUGGUGGCGAGUGGCGAACGGGUGAGUAAUAUAUCGGAACGUGCCCGGUCGUGGGGGAUAACGUAGCGAAAGCUACGCUAAUACCGCAUACGAUCUACGGAUGAAAGCGGGGGAGUCGCAAGACCUCGCGCGAUUGGAGCGGCCGAUAUCAGAUUAGGUAGUUGGUGAGGUAAAGGACUCACCAAGCCGACGAUCUGUAGCUGGUCUGAGAGGACGACCAGCCACACUGGGACUGAGACACGGCCCAGACUCCUACGGGAGGCAGCAGUGGGGAAGUUUUGGACAAUAGGGCGGCAAGACCUGAUCCAGCAAUGCCGCGUGCAGG